ACUGGCAAUUGAGUUGGAAUGAAACAGAACGACAUGAAAUUAAUGCGUAUCGUUUUCAAACGGUGGCUCGGAGGGAAAAUAGGCUGAUGCUAAGCUGUCAAGGACGGUGGCCAGUGGGUUUUGGUCCAUACUUGUACCCAAUGCCCAUGUCUUUUCAAGAACAACAAACAAAAAAAUAUCUAGCUCUGUCCAAAAACUGAAAGAAAUUAUUUCAAAUUUGUAUCAAUUACUUCUUUUCUUGAUUUUUGUAUAAAAGGUUAAUAGUUCACUUUUUAUCUGUACCUUUUGGUUAUUGGAUUUGGCAAUCUAACGGUAUAUAUUCUUGCGGCCUAUAAACAAUCGUACCAUUAACGAUGUGGGGUUUCUGAAAUGAAAUGAAGAGGCUGGCUUUUUAAGCUUUUGGAUGGGCGACGACAUUGGCUACUAGCUAGCUCUACAGCAAAAUACAUAUAUACAUAAGCAUAACCCAAGAGAUCGAAGCAUAUCAACUACUUGUGGGCUCCUGGUUCUUUUCUAUUUUGGCAUUUCUGACACACUGCAGGAGCAAAAACAUUCAUGGAACCAUAUGACAUCAUCGACUGGUUCGAGAACCUGUCCGAGAACGCUGGAAAAGUUCAAACCCAGACACUUCGCCGGAUUCUUGAGCUCAACCAUGGUGUGCAGUAUCUCCAAAAAUGGCUCCGGGACAUCAACAUCCAAGAGAUGGAUGCAUGUUCACUGGAAUCUCUUUUCACAUCCAUGGUGCCCCUGGCCUCACAUGCAGAUUUUGAGCCUUAUAUUCAGAGAAUAGCAGAUGGGGAUACUGGUCCUUUACUCACUCAACAGCCUAUGGCUACUCUCUCCUUAAGCUCCGGAACAACAGAAGGAAGACAAAAGUACGUACCCUUUACACGCCAUAGCGCCCAGACCACUCUUCAGAUUCUUAGGUUGGCAGCAGCUUACAGAUCAAGGGUUUAUCCAAUAAGAGAUGGAGGAAGGAUCCUUGAGUUGAUUUACAGCAGCAAACAGUUCAAAACAAAGGGAGGAUUAGCAGUAGGAACAGCCACAACACACUACUAUGCAAGCGAGGAGUUCAAGAUCAGGCAGGAAAUAACAAAUUCAUUCACUUGCAGCCCAGAAGAAGUAAUCUCAAGUGGAGAUUACAAGCAAUCCACCUACUGCCAUCUCCUCCUCGGCCUCUUCUUUUCCAAGGAAGUAGAGUUCAUAACCUCCACCUUUGCCUACAGCAUAGUCCAGGCUUUCUGCGCGUUCGAAGAGAACUGGGAAGAGAUAUGCAAUGACCUCAGAGAAGGCAAUCUCAGCCCAAGAAUCAAUCUUCCAAAAAUGAGAAAAGCUGUCUUGAAAAUAAUCUCCCCAGACCCAUGUUUGGCAUCAAAAAUCGAAGGGUUCUGCGAGGAGUUACAGAAUCGGAAUUGGGCUAGUUUGAUCCCAAAGCUGUGGCCAAAUGCAAAAUAUGUGUGUUCUAUAUUGACAGGGUCAAUGCAACCGUACUUGAAAAAGCUAAGGCAUUAUGCUGGAGAGUUGCCGCUAGUGAGUGCUGACUAUGGAUCAACUGAGAGCUGGAUUGGGGUGAAUGUGGAUCCGUCUUUACCGCCAGAGAAAGUCACCUUCGCGGUAAUACCCUCCUUUUCUUACUUCGAGUUCAUUCCACUUUGUAGACAGAAACAAGGUCGCUUUUCCCCCAUUGAUGACUUGGCAGAAGAUGAACCAAUCCCACUCUCCCAAGUCAAGGUUGGACAAGAGUACGAGAUUGUCCUUACUACUUUUACUGGGCUAUAUAGGUACAGGUUAGGUGAUGUGGUGGAAGUGGCUGGUUUUCACAAAGGCACCCCAAAAUUGAAUUUUAUAUGCAGGAGAAAACUAAUUUUAACAGUAAAUAUUGACAAAAACACAGAAAAGGACCUUCAGUUAGUGGUGGAGAGGGGGUCACAGCUGCUGAGUGAGGCUGGAACCGAGCUGGUUGAUUUCACUAGCCAUGCAAAUGUGGCCAACCAACCGGGAAACUACGUGAUUUACUGGGAGAUUAAGGGAGAGGUGGAGGAGAGAGUUCUGGGGGAGUGUUGCAGUGAAAUGGAUGCAGCUUUCGUCGAUCAUGGCUAUGUUGUUUCCCGGAGAACAAAUUCGAUCGGGCCGCUUGAGCUUUGCAUUGUGGAGAGAGGGACUUUCAGGAAGAUUUUGGAUUACUUCAUCGCCAACGGGGCGGCGAUGAGCCAGUUCAAGACCCCCAGGUGCACCGGCAACCAGGUCCUCCUCAAGAUUCUCAACAUGUGCACCAUUAAGAGGUUCCAAAGCACAGCCUAUGCUUGAAGCAAUUAAUCACAUGAUCGAUCAUCAACAUAUUAAUCUUCCAUGCAUAAAAUGGGAACGAGAGAGAAUAUUUUUGAGUGAAGUUGCUGGAAAGUGGAAACACAAACUGCCCACUUGACAAGAAUCAAGAUCGAGUGUAAAACAAUUAUCCACGUGGCGCUGGUAGGGUUGUCGUGUACGAUCGAGGCCCUUCCAACCCCAGUCGAUCAAUCGUUGGCCGCUCUAAAAUUCUAAUGUCAGCCGCUCAAAGGAGGAUCUGACGGGCACAUACAUGACAUUAAAGUUUAAUUACUAUUUUGUGUUGGAGGUUUUCAUCUAUUUGUUACACAGUAAAACUUUUAUAGGUGAAAAUUUUUUAAAUUUAUUGUAAUACAUUUUAAGUUUAUUUAUUUAUUUAUUAUUUUUCUC